GUAAAUAUAUGGAAUAACUAAAAUAAAUGUUCUGGUAAAAAAUAAAGUUUGUGGCAUCCAUGUUCUCAACCAAUAUUAAAACGUGUGAGGGAUAAAUAAAAGUUUGUCUGGAUGGACACAUAUAUCCACUGUACACGUUAUUCAAUGUUUCUGACGUGCCAGGCUCUGAGUGAGUUGUGAGUCCCAGGGGUGCGGCAUGAGUUGUUUAAGCUGGGUGCUUAAACUUAAGUGACGUAUUCAUGUGCAUAUGUAUUAUGUAUACAAAUUGCUUUUAUAAGGAGCAACUCCAGUGGGGCUUACUCAAAGUAAUCGUAUUUCAUAUAAAACUAUAUAGAGGGUUGGAAAAAAGUCUGGAACAAAAGCUGAGCCAGAGAAAGGUUUUCUGAACUAUCAGUUGGAAAAGCAGAAGAAUGAAAAAUAUAGAAGUAAAUGGGGAUAAAAAUUAAAGAAAAGGGAAGAAGAAAAAAGGAAAAGAUCUUAUACCCAAUGGGAACUCAACAGGUAUAGGGUUAAUUAACAUGUUGUUAAAUCAGAGGGAAAGCUGACAAGAAAGAGAGCCCCCUCACAAUUUAGGUGGAGUCAAUGGUCAAAAUGACAUUCCUCAACUCAUAGAACUCCUCUUUCUCCCUCUGUGCACAAAUCUUUAAUAGUAUUUUGAACCAAGACCCAAAUAUUUAGCAUUUUCUGGAUCUCCUAUCCACAGCCCAUACCUGAUUCUGGAAUACCAGAGACAAGGAUAUAAUACAUUUCCAUCGCUUUAAGCCCCAAUUUCCCUUAACUCCCAUUUGCCUCACUCCGAUGGUAACCAUCAUUCUGACCAUGGAUUAACUUUGCCUGUUCUGAAUUUCACAUAAAUGGAAUCAUAAACUUUGUACUAUACUGUACCUAUUUUUUUCCCUCUCUCAACAUCAUGUUUUUGAGGUUCAUCCAUAUAGGAGCAGUGCUCAUGCCCUAUCUUUUGACAAACUGCUGCUAGCCUCCUUGCCAUAGGGUAGGAUGCUAAUAGCUACUCCCUUCUCUAGAAAAUUGCAUUUGGCUGAUAGUAUCUGACAUUUGGGACAACCCAAAAUCAAUGUUCAACCGAUGUAGGGUACAAAAAGACAGCCUUCUUGCCUCAAGUUGGGGAUAACUCUAUAGUGUGAUCCCCCAUCAAUUAGGUCAAGCCCAGACUUUAUUCUUGCUCAGUUUUUUCUCUCUUACUAUUUUGCUUCUCUCACUCCCUUACUGUUUUGUGUUUUGUUUUGUUUUGUUUUUGAAAAAAGCACUCUCUCAGAAAAUCACAUACAACUGAAUCUGUCUUAUGUUCUAUUUCUAAGGUUGAGUCAGAAAAUUGGUAGUGGGAAUUUCCUAGGAAGCUGACUCUAUGGGAUUCUAAAUUGGAUUAUCCACCAGUCAGCUGGUAAUGGUCCCACAUCACUAGUGAUAGCUGUAAGAUUAAUAAUCUCUGACAUGCUGUAGGAAUAUGAUUGUUCACUUUUACCUGGGGUGAGUGGGACAGGGCACAUGUCAGAAGGGAUGUGCUGGCUUAUACAGUAUCUCUGGCAUUUGACAGGUAUGGGA
ensembl:lncRNA